rnacentral:rRNA from 1 species
UACGGAGGGUGCGAGCGUUGUCCGGAAUCACUGGGCGUAAAGGGCGCGUAGGUGGCGCAGGAAGUCAACGGUGAAAAGUUCGGGGCUCAACCCUAAUCGGCCGCGAUACUCCUGGGCUCGAGCACUGUAGAGGCAGAUGGAAUUCCUGGUGUAGCGGUGGAAUGCGCAGAGUAUCAGGAGGAACACCGGUGGCGAAGGCGGGU